UCUUUGCGCAUGUGCGAGACAUCGCGCUCUUUCAGCCCAGCUCUCCAUCCACUGGCUGCAACCAACACGAAGGCGACGUUUAGGGGACGCUGCAAAAUAAAUGGUGCAACUCCACUACUUGGCCUUUGCGAUUAAGGAUGCAGAAAGGGACCUAGCAACCACAGUCAUGGGGAUUUACAUGAUCCAAAGAGAUGGGGAUCAGGAGCCAGAGGAUCUGGAAGUUGUGACUGAAGGCAUCAAAGUUCUUUGCAACUUAGGCAGCGUCAUCAUGGUGUUCAUGCUUUUUGGGCUCUUGCCCUUGAUAUGAGUUUUCCAGACAACCUCAAGUAUACCUUCAAAUUUUUCCAGAAGAUCAUUUGGAAAUUAGAUGAGCACAAGUUGAAUGCAAAAAUACAACAGCUGAAAAUCAAGCUGUUUGCAUAAGGGGACUAAACCAAGUGACAGUGUACCUUGAUAGAGGGUUUAAGACUGAGAUUACUUGGGCUUGGACAAGUGUUAACACCCAGAAAGUUUGCCCAUUUCACCUCGCCAUCACAAUUUCAUGACUGUUACUCUACCUUCUCAGUGCCAUUCAUCUCUCGUUAUUUGAUUUCAUGACUUGAAAUGGAUCUAAUAACAGCUCAACAUACUGUACUUUUUUUCCCUUCAUGUUGCAAGUGACAUCUAUUUAAGUUGUAUUUAAAUGACUUCCUUGUUAUGAUUGCACUGGAUGUUUAUUUUUCUAUUUAUUUUUUGCUUUGUCUAACAGUGGUCCACAAUACUUUUUUUUUUUUUUACAUGACACGCCAACCACCAAAGCUCCUCACUUUAAAUGAACAGAAGUGGGGAAUUUUGUAUUUGCCAAAGCCAUGUCAAUUGCAGCGCCUAGAAUACAUUCAAAUAUAGGUUUUUGCAGUGA